rnacentral:rRNA from 1 species
AGGACGAACGCUGGCGGCGUGCCUAACACAUGCAAGUCGAGCGAGAAAGUUCUUCGGGAGACGAGUACAGCGGCGGACGGGUGAGUAACACGUGAACAACCUACCCUUGAGACAGGGAUAACAGCGGGAAACCGUUGCUAAUACCUGAUAUACUCAUAGAACCGCAUGGUGAUAUGAGGAAAUGAUUAAUCGCUCAAGGAUGGGUUCGCGUCCCAUUAGCUAGUUGGUGGGGUAAAGGCCUACCAAGGCGACGAUGGGUAGCCGGCCUGAGAGGGUGUCCGGCCACACUGGAACUGAGACACGGUCCAGACUCCUACGGGAGGCAGCAGUGGGGAAUUUUGCGCAAUGGGGGAAACCCUGACGCAGCGACGCCGCGUGAGCGAAGAAGGUUUUCGGAUCGUAAAGCUCUGUCACAGGGGAAGAUAAUGACGGUACCCUGGGAGGAAGCCCCGGCUAACUACGUGCCAGCCGCCGC